rnacentral:rRNA from 1 species
GACGAACGCUGGCGGCGCGCUUAACACAUGCAAGUCGAGCGAGAACCGGGACUUCGGUCCUGGGGAAAGCGGCGAACGGGUGAGUAACACGUGGGUAACCUGCCCUCGGCACCGGAAUAGCCCGGGGAAACUCGGAUUGAUGCCGGAUAGCCCCUUCACCUCGCGGGGUGAUGGGAAAAGGUAGCUUCGGCCUCUGGCCGAGGAUGGGCUCGCGGCGGAUUAGCUUGUUGGCGGGGUAACGGCCCACCAAGGCGACGAUCCGUAGCUGGUCUGAGAGGACGAUCAGCCACACUGGGACUGAGACACGGCCCAGACUCCUACGGGAGGCAGCAGUGGGGAAUCUUGCGCAAUGGGCGAAAGCCUGACGCAGCGACGCCGCGUGGGGGAAGAAGGUCUUAGGGUUGUAAACCUCCUUCAGGUGGGACGAAGCCACUCGGGUGAAUAGCCCAGAGGGUGACGGUACCUCCAGAAGAAGCCCCGGCUAACUACGUGCCAGCCGCCGCGGUAAAAC